AUUGAACGCUGGCGGCAGGCCUAACACAUGCAAGUCGAGCGGAGCGGCGGACGGGUGAGUAAUGCCUAGGAAUCUGCCUGGUAGUGGGGGAUAACGUCCGGCAACGGGCGCUCAUACCGCAUCCUCUCAGAUGGUCCUCGUUCGGAUUAGCUAUUUGUUGGUGUAAAGGCCUACAAAGGCGACGAUCCGUACCUGGUCUGAGAGGAUGAUCAUUCACACUGGAACUGAGACACGGUCCAGACUCCUACGGGAUGCAGCAGUGGGUAAUAUUGGACAAUGGGCGAAAUCCUGCUCCAGCCAUGCCGCGUGUGUGAAGAAGGUCGUCGGAUUGUAAAGCACUUUAAGUUGGGAGGCGUUACCAACAGAAUAAGCACCGGCUAACUUCGUGCCAGCCGCCGCGGUAAUAC
rnacentral:rRNA from 1 species